rnacentral:rRNA from 1 species
GCCUGUUUAUCAAAAACAUGGCCUUUUGUUAAUAAUAUAAGGUCUGACCUGCUCUAUGAUUAAUUAAAUGGCUGCGGUAUUUUGACCGUGCAAAGGUAGCAUAAUCAUUAGUUUUUUUAUUGGAAGCUGGUAUGAAUGGUUGGACAAGAAAGUAUCUGUCUCUAGAUAAUUUUAUUUGAAUUUUAUUUUUUAGUGAAAAGGCUAAAAUGGUUGUGAGGGACGAGAAGACCCUAUAGAAUUUUAUAGAAUUAUUAUGAUGGAAUUUUUGGGAUGUUUUAUUUAGUUGUAAUGAUUUUAUUUUGUUGGGGUGAUGGAAAAAUUUGAUUAACUUUUUUUUUUGUUGUGCAUUGAUUUAUGUUUAUUUGAUCCAUUUUUUAUGAUUAUAAGAUUUAAUUACCUUAGGGAUAACAGCGUAAUUAGUUUGGAGAGUUCUUAUCGAUAAACUAGUUUGCGACCUCGAUGUUGGAUUAAAAUUAAUUAUUGGUGUAGGAGCUAAUAAAUUGAGUCUGUUCGACUUUUAAAAUUUUACAUGAUCUGAGUUCAGACCGG